CUGUGAAACUGCGAAUGGCUCAUUAAAUCAGUUAUCGUUUAUUUGAUAGUACCUUACUACUUGGGUAACCGUGGUAAUUCUAGAGCUAAUACAUGCUAAAAACCUCGACUUCGGAAGGGGUGUAUUUAUUAGAUAAAAAACCAAUGCCCUUCGGGGCUCCUUGGUGAAUCAUAAUAACUUAACGAAUCGCAUGGCCUUGUGCCGGCGAUGGUUCAUUCAAAUUUCUGCCCUAUCAACUUUCGAUGGUAGGAUAGUGGCCUACCAUGGUUUCAACGGGUAACGGGGAAUUAGGGUUCUAUUCCGGAGAGGGAGCCUGAGACACGGCUACCACAUCCAAGGAAGGCAGCAGGCGCGCAAAUUACCCAAUCCCGACGCGGGGAGGUAGUGACAAUAAAUACUGAUACAGGGCUCUUUUGGGUCUUGUAAUUGGAAUGAGUACAAUUUAAAUCCCUUAACGAGGAACAAUUGGAGGGCAAGUCUGGUGCCAGCAGCCGCGGUAAUUCCAGCUCCAAUAGCGUAUAUUAAAGUUGUUGCAGUUAAAAAGCUCGUAGUUGAACCUUGGGCCUGGCUGGCCGGUCCGCCUCACCGCGUGCACUGGUCCGGCCGGGCCUUUCCUUCUGGGGAGCCGCAUGCCCUUCACUGGGUGUGUCGGGGAACCAGGACUUUUACUUUGAAAAAAUUAGAGUGUUCAAAGCAGGCCUAUGCUCGAAUACAUUAGCAUGGAAUAAUAGAAUAGGACGUGUGGUUCUAUUUUGUUGGUUUCUAGGACCGCCGUAAUGAUUAAUAGGGAUAGUCGGGGGCAUCAGUAUUCAAUUGUCAGAGGUGAAAUUCUUGGAUUUAUUGAAGACUAACUACUGCGAAAGCAUUUGCCAAGGAUGUUUUCAUUAAUCAGUGAACGAAAGUUAGGGGAUCGAAGACGAUCAGA
rnacentral:rRNA from 1 species